ACGGCCGGCCUCCCUCUUUCUUCACUCCCCCCACCCCACAGCCCCCGACUCCUGUCUAUGGUCGCGAGCGAGUGAGACUGGUAGACGGGACACCAGUCCACGACUCCCGGGCCCCGACGCUUCCGGAGAUCCCUCCGUCCCUGGCGCCGGCGACCUCAGAGGAAGACCGGAAAACUGACAGUGCCGUGGCGGCAAUCGGGCAGAGCUGGAGAGAUAGGGAGGCGGGAGCUUGGAGAAGGCCGCUUCUUUCCUUCUUCCCCCACGCUCGUCAGGGAGUCCAGCGUUCGGGUCUACUGACGGAUCACCGCAUUGCAAUCAGCCAUGGUCAUGGACACCACUGACCCGGGCUACUGGCUCAACUGGAGGUUCAUGCUCUGCGCGACCUGGGUCUACUCCUGUAUGGCCCUGGCGUUCUACUUGAUCUGGAAGUACGAGGGGCCAAGUUCGCCGGCCGGCAACGACGAGGGGGGCGACAGAGAGGAGGCUCGGCCCAGGAUCGGACCCGGAGUUGUGUAUCUUGAGGACUGCUGGAAGCCGUGCCUUGAGGAGAUCCAUCCCGCUUGGCUGCUGGCUUUUCGCCUUGUGUCGUUCUUGUUCAUGGCUUCGGUGCUUGUCUCUGAUGUUAUUGUCGAUGGAUGGACCGUCUUCCUUUACUACACUCAGUGGACCUUCUUGCUUGUCACCUUGUACUUUGGGCUUGGUUCGGUGCUUUCUUUCUAUGGAUGUUAUCAGUACGCGUGCAAGACGGCUAAAUCUGAUGGAGAUCAUGGCUCUUAUAUCAUUGCUCCAACGGGGGAAAGUACAUACGACGAUUCCAUCAAAAGUUCUUGUUUCAAUAGAACACAUAAUGGCCGGGAAAUUGCAGGAUUUUGGGGUUAUCUGUUCCAGAUUAUGUUUCAGCCGAUGAAUGGUGAUGAUUACGGAUUUGGUGUUUGUUGCCCGCCCGAUUUUGAUAUGCUUGUUUUCAGACAAAUGCAGUUGCUGAUUGGAACACAUUCACUCAAUGCUCUCUUCAUAAUCGGUGAUACUGCUUUGAAUAGCCUGGUGGCCUUACCCAUUCCUAGACUUGACAUACCCUCGAGCACCUGUCUGGUACUUGGUGGUGGCACUGCUUCACUUCCCUUGUUAUGGCCUCUUCGCCCUAGUCCUGAGGAUCAAGAGAUCUCUCCUGGAAAGCUGGUUCCCACAUAGUUACACAUACGUGAAGUAGACAAAGAAGAUACACAUAUACUGGCACAAUUUACUCCCAUUUCCCCCUUGUCCUGAAAAUCGCAUGGAGCUUCUGCUACUACACAAUGAGCCGCAUUCUUCGGAGUUAGGUGCCUGUAAUUCCUUGCACUUGAAAGCACGGGCUCUUUACGGGGUUCUUUACUCAAAAGUGGACGUGUGAAUUGCCACGACGUAUGUUCGCCAAAAUUUUGAGAUGCAUGGCUUCUUUGAAGUUUGAACCAGGUGUUGUGCCAUUUCUCUGCGGUUUUACUAAAAUCCCAGUGGGGAAUUUUGUG
rnacentral:rRNA from 1 species